GCUUUGAAAUACCUGUCACAUAGUUGAAUAUACAUUUCCUCCUCCCCUUAUUGUACGUUACAUCAGUUAAUAGGUAUUUAUACAUGACACAUUUCACUUUCUGACGGAAUGCCGUGGUGACAUGUUUGUUGAGGAUGUGAUACCCAGGUCCUUUCUGAAUGGUUCCUGACUGGAGCAGCAAGAAAUGAGGUAGCUGGAUUUAACACAGUUUUGGUAACCUUGGAGAAACAAGUUACAGCAACCAUCAGCCCAGGCGACAAAUUUGCAAGCAGGCCAGGGUGCAGGCGGGAGGAUCUGAUCUGAGAGAGGACAAAAGACUCGGCUCACGCUGCAGAGCGCUGUGGCUGAUCCUUUUGUAUGCAAGACCAGCAGACUUGCCUGAAACAGGAACCUUGGAGGUAAAUCAGGCUAAUGAAGCAGCUCAGAGAGGCAAUGUGCAUUAUUUUGUAUCCCACAAUGAUUUUAAAGUCAACACACAUGCAGUACCGAGUAUUUUGAAGCCUAAGAUACCUGUAGGAGAUCCAAGAGAAGGCGGUUCAUCUAGUCUCCUCAGUGCUUUCAUUUAACUGAUAGCAAUUAGCUCUCUUUUCAUAGUGAGAAAUACAGGAACCAUUUCACUCUCUGGAUAAAUUUUAUCUAGGCAAGAAAUUAUGUUAUGACAGUUGCUAUCCGUGAUGCUAAAAUGCUUUUAUUAGGACAAUUACAGCUCUUUUUACUCUAGGCUGAAAGAGAAAGUGAAAAGCUAGCUUUGCUAGAGAGAAGGCACUUUGUUAGGAAUGGCCUUUUGCUGCAAAAAGAUCAGAGUUUUCUGGAUUAAUCUUUGGAUUAUAUAGAUUUUCC
rnacentral:lncRNA from 1 species